GCACCCGUAGUGAAGUGGAUAUCAUUACUGUCUUCGGAACAGUCGUCGGGGGUUCGAGUCCCUCCGGGUGCA
rnacentral:tRNA from 1 species